UAGGGAAUAUUAGUAAUGGGCGAAAGCCUGAACUAGCAACACCGCGUGUGCGAAGAAGGCCUUCGGGUCGUAAAGCACUUUUUGGAAGGAAUAGGAAGGAAUGUACUUCCAGAAUAAGUCUCGGCUAACUACGUGCCAGCAGCCGCGGUAACACGUAGGAGGCAAACGUUAUCCGGAUUUACUGGGCGUAAAGCGCGUGUAGGUGGUACUGUAAGUAGGGCGUGAAAGCUCCUGGCUCAACUGGGAGAGGCCGUUCUAAACUACAGAACUAGAGGAUGGUAGAGGGAGGUGGAAUUCCAGGUGUAGCGGUGGAAUGCGCAGAUAUCUGGAGGAACACCGGUGGCGAAGGCGGCCUCCUGGACCAUUCCUGACACUCAGACGCGAAAGCUAGGGUAGCAAACG
rnacentral:rRNA from 1 species